UACGUAGGGUGCAGGCGUUAAUCGGAAUUACUGGGCGUAAAGCGUGCGCAGGCGGUUUGCUAAGACAGGUGUGAAAUCCCCGGGCUUAACCUGGGAACUGCGCUUGUAACUGGCAAGCUUGAGUGUGGCAGAGGGGGGUGGAAUUCCGCGUGUAGCAGUGAAAUGCGUAGAGAUGCGGAGGAACACCGAUGGCGAAGGCAGCCCCCUGGGCUAGCACUGACGCUCAGGCACGAAAGCGUGGGGAGCAAACAGG
rnacentral:rRNA from 1 species